rnacentral:rRNA from 1 species
UACGUAGGGUGCGAGCGUUGUCCGGAAUUAUUGGGCGUAAAGGGCUCGUAGGCGGUUUGUCGCGUCGGGAGUGAAAACCCAGGGCUUAACCCUGGGCCUGCUUCCGAUACGGGUGGACUAGAGGUAGGCAGGGGAGAACGGAAUUCCUGGUGUAGCGGUGAAAUGCGCAGAUAUCAGGAGGAACACCGGCGGCGAAGGCGGGUCUCUGGGCCGAUACUGACGCUGAGGAGCGAAAGCGUGGGGAGCGAACAGG